UACGAAGGGGGCUAGCGUUGUUCGGAAUUACUGGGCGUAAAGCGUGCGCAGGCGGCUUCUCAAGUCAGGGGUGAAAGCCCAGAGCUCAACUCUGGAAUUGCCUUUGAGACUGAGUGGCUUGAGUACGAGAGAGGUGAGUGGAAUUCCCAGUGUAGAGGUGAAAUUCGUAGAUAUUGGGAAGAACACUGGUGGCGAAGGCGGCUCACUGGCUCGUAACUGACGCUCAUGCACGACAGCGUGGGGAGCAAACAGG
rnacentral:rRNA from 1 species